CCUACGGGGGGCUGCAGUGGGGAAUAUUGCACAAUGGGCGCAAGCCUGAUGCAGCCAUGCCGCGUGUGUGAAGAAGGCCUUCGGGUUGUAAAGCACUUUCAGCGGGGAGGAAGGCGUUAAGGUUAAUAACCUUGUCGAUUGACGUUACCCGCAGAAGAAGCACCGGCUAACUCCGUGCCAGCAGCCGCGGUAAUACGGAGGGUGCAAGCGUUAAUCGGAAUUACUGGGCGUAAAGCGCACGCAGGCGGUCUGUCAAGUCGGAUGUGAAAUCCCCGGGCUCAACCUGGGAACUGCAUUCGAAACUGGCAGGCUAGAGUCUUGUAGAGGGGGGUAGAAUUCCAGGUGUAGCGGUGAAAUGCGUAGAGAUCUGGAGGAAUACCGGUGGCGAAGGCGGCCCCCUGGACAAAGACUGACGCUCAGGGGCGAAAGCGUGGGGAGCAAACAGGAUUAGUACCCUAGUAGUC
rnacentral:rRNA from 1 species